UACGAAGGGGGCUAGCGUUGCUCGGAAUUACUGGGCGUAAAGCGCACGUAGGCGGCUCUUUAAGUCGGAGGUGAAAUCCUGGAGCUCAACUCCAGAACUGCCUUCGAUACUGAAGAGCUCGAGUCCGGGAGAGGUGAGUGGAACUGCGAGUGUAGAGGUGAAAUUCGUAGAUAUUCGCAAGAACACCAGUGGCGAAGGCGGCUCACUGGCCCGGUACUGACGCUGAGGUGCGAAAGCAUGGGGAGCAAACAGG
rnacentral:rRNA from 1 species